UUAAAGUGGGGGGGGGGGGGGCGGGGGGCUGGGCGAGGGCUAAUCAGCAUUACACAAAUUAUAAAAGAGGUGCACAUAGGUCAAAAGUUUGGGAAACACUGAUCUAAAGGAAUGCAAGACUGAUAAACGGGUAGCAGUAGAUUGGUGCAUAGAAACGCCAUGUUCAUCUUUGGGUAGCAGGGCAUUGCUUAAAUGGAUUGCACACUCGAUCAGUGAACUCAUAACGAUGUGAUACGUUUGGUAGCACAAACAUCAGCAGUGGAUGACACCCCUGUCCAUGUCAUCAAAGCAUUGGAAUGGGGGGGGGGGGGACCACUGAGGCUCGUGACUAUUAUUGUAAUAGGACAACAUUGUAAAGGAGAAUGUUGGGUGACCUUUGAUAAGUGGGAAAAUAUUCAUUAGCUUUGUGAGGUCAGUGUCAUCUGUUACACUCAAUCAUUAGCAGUACAACAGAAAAAGAUAAGCAAUUAUUGCAUGUUGUGCAGACAUUUUUUUUUUCAAAACGAGGCAAGUGAUUUUUUACACACUUAAACAUAUUUACAUACAACUUAAAAGCUCUCACUAGUAUAAUAUCUGCCUUUAUGUUGGACCGUUGGAAAGUUCACUAGUUCAACUGUGAAACACAGCACCAGCACACAUGUCAGCCUGUGACGUUUAACUUAAUCGGUCUAAAUGCCACUACUGCAGGAGUCUUUUUUUGUUUUUGUUUUGUUUUAUCGUUGUUGCCUGCUAUCAAAAAUAUGUUCCAGUACCGCUAAGUUGUACCCCCUGCUGUUAUAAUUUUUUUUUUUUUUUUUUUGCAUUACGAUUUAAUUAAAAGUACCCAGAUUGAAAUAGACCUCAAGAUAUUUAGAUGACAAGGAUUUUUAAAAAAUCAUUUUGUUUCUCAAGAGAUUUGAAAUUCUCUUUCAUAAAAUUAAUUUUAUAUUACAGAUAAUAAAAAAUGAAAAAAAAGUCUGUAAGACAAGUCACAUAAAAAUAAAUAUGUUGCUGAGUAACCUUUAAGGAUACUAUCUCACUUAAAGGCUUACAGGCCUAUCCAUAUAAGCACGAUACUCUAUCCCUCCCCCCCCCCU